CUAUGCUUACUCCAUCUUACUUCUCUUAGGUCUUACAAUGGAAGUGCCCUAUUACAUUUUGUUCUUUUCUAUGAUUUCCAAUUAUUUUAUGAAAUUUUUCAUUUAUUUUUUCUGUUCUUUCUAUCUUUAAUUUCUAUGUAACUUUUUGAAAUAGAUCUCAAAGAUUUUAUAUAUAUAUAUAUAUAUAUAUAUACACACACACACAGAGAGAGAGAUAUAUAUCUACUGUACUAUUGAAGUAGAUUCCUAAAGUUUUUAUCUCUUCUAGAAUAUUGGUUUCACAACACCCCUAUUAUGUGUAUUUAAUUUUACCCACCACAUGGCGUUUUCAAAAAGUCUUUAUUUGGCGGAAUACAACUUCAGAAUCUGAUUCGAAGAGAAAAUUGCUCACAGCCGUGAGCCACUGUGCCUGGCCGAUUUUUACUAUUUAAAGAAGGAAGAAUUUUAGCAGCGUGGGGUGGCUCAUGCCUGUAAUCCCAGCACUUUGGGAGGCUGAGGUGGGCGGAUCACUUGAGGCCAGUAGUUCAAGAACAGCCUGGCCAACAUGACGAAACCCCAUCUCUACUAAAAAUACAAAAAUUAGCCAGGCGUGGUGGCACGUGCCUGUAGUCCCAGCUACUCGAAGGCUUAGGCAGGAGAAUCGCUUGAAUCAGAGACAGGGAGGCUGCAAUGAGCCGAGAUUGCACCACUGCACUCCAGCCUGGGCGACAGUGCAAGACUCCAUCUCAAAAAUAAAGAGGAAUUGGAGGAGGAAAUAAAUGAAUAAAUGACAAAGGUGACAAAGGACCAAAGAUCUGUGACUUGUGCAAAGAUUGCUCUGUGUUUGCUGCAGGUCUAGAAGAUGUCACAGAAUUUCAAGGAAGAGAGUUGUCAUGGGAGGCCAGCCGCCUGCUGGCAAGGAAGAUGGUUGAUUCUUCUGAUCAAUGGAGGCCCUGCAGAGUCCUGUAGUCACUGUGGCCUGGCAUCCAUGGUGCACCCAAUGCUGGUGGAUGGCUUAGGACGAGGCAGUUGCUGUGGGAGGUGUGGUAACUGCUGGAAGGAAGAUGCUCAAUUCUUCUGAGCAACGAAGGCCACACGGAGUCCUGGAUUCUGUGUGGCCUGGCAUCCAUGGCGCACUGUGUGCUGGCAGGUGGCUCAGGACGGGGCAGUUAUCAUGGGACACCCGCCAUAUGCUGGCAAGGAAGAUGGUCAGUUCUUCUGAGCCACAAAGGCCCCCAACAUCCUGGAGUUGGUGUUGCCUAGCAUCCACGGUGCGCCCCCUGCUGGUGGAUGGCUCAGGAUGGGGCAGUUGCCGUGGGAGGCCCGCUGCCUGCUGGAAGGAAGAUGGUCAGUUCUUCUGAACCACAAAGGCCCUGCAGAGUCCUGGAGUCUGUGUGGCCUGGCUUCCAGGGUUCACCUCAUGCUGGUGGAUUGCUCAGGAUGGGUGCCGAAGGUCUUUAAGGUCGUCAGCUCACCUACUGCCCAGCCUGUGGUGUCAAAUGUCCUGCCUCUUCAAAUGUGUUUGGAUCGAUGAUGAGUCCCCCCAAAAAAACAUUCCUUGGAAAAGCUGAACAAAAUGAGUGAAAACUCAUACCGUCGUUCUCAGCGGAACUGAGGUCCAGCGCGUUGCCUCCAGCAGGGACUGUUGGAGUGAGGGAGAGCUUCCACUAGUCCCUAUAGGUUCCACCACCCAGGGCAUCCGCAGGUGCACCUCACCUAAGAGGGUGGCCAGAGACAGUGUCUUGUCAUGACAUCAGAAGCCCCAUGAGGAAGAGGAGGAGCCUGUGCUCCUGCCAGAGGUGGUGGCUGUUAGGGACAGUUGCCGUGGGAGGUCCGCUGCCUGCUGUCAAGGAAGAUGGUCGAUGCUUCUGAGAAACAGGCCCUGCGGGUUCCUGGAUUUGGUGUGGCCUGGCAUCCACGGUGCACCCCGUGCUGGCGGGUGGCCCAGGACGGGGCAGUUGCCUUGAGAGGCCCACCGCCUGCUGGCAUGACAGAUGGUCAGUUCUUCCGAGCAGUGGAAUCUCCAUGGAGUCGUGGAGUCGGUGUGGCCUCGCAUCCACAGUGCACCCUGUGCUGGUGGAUGGCUCAGGACAGGGCAGUUGCCGUGGGAGGCCUGCCGUCUGCUGAAAGGAAGAUGGUUGAUGCUUCUGAGCAAUGAAGGCCCCAUGGAGUCCUGGAUUCGGUGUGGCCUUGCAUCCGUGGUGCACCCCGUGCUGGUGGAUGGCUCAGGACGGGGCAGUUGCCAUGGGAGGCGCAGGCCUGCUGGAAGGAAGAUGGUCGAUUCUCCCAAGCAACAAAGGCCACGUAGAGUCCUGGUUUCAGUGUGGCCUGGUAUCCACAGUGCACCCCGUGCUGGUGGGUGGCUCAGGACGCACACUCAUUUCCUCUGCACCUUCCUGGUGUCAUUGGCAUGGAAGGAAGGCCCUUGUCCAAGAAGGAUGGUCUUCGUCUUGUGUGAUCUUUGAGAUGCCAUGAGGCCCCUGGAUACAAAUGGUGUGGGCUCCUUUGGAGGCUUUUGGAUUUCUCCUGAAUGUGGCGUUGGUAUGGAAGGAAGGCCAGUGACCGCAAGGGAUGACUUUGAUCUUGGGAGAUUUUUGGAGAUGGCAAAGUGCUUCUAAACAUGUUUGGCAUGGUCUCCUUCAGGCUGGUGGAUACCUCAGGAUGGUGGCGUUGGCAUGGAAGGAAGGACUGUGUCUGUGAGGGAUGAUCAUCCUCUCAUGUGAUCCUUGGAGAUGCCAGGAAGCCCCUUGACACAUGUGGCAUGGGCUCCUUCAGAGGCUUUUGGAUCCGUCGUGAAUGUGGCAUGGGCAUGCAAAGAAAGACAGAGGCUGCAAGGGAUAAACUUCAUCUUGGGAGAUCCCUGGAGAUGGCAGGGAACCCAUGGACACAUGUGGCAUGGGCUCCUUUGGGUGCCGGUGGAUCCCUUCAUACGGUAGUGUUGGUGUAAAAGGCAAACCCGUGUCAUGAGGGAUGGUCAUCAUCUUGUGUGAUCCUUGGAGAUGGCAGGAAGCCCUGGACAUACAUGGUGUGGGGGCUCCUCCAGAGGCUGUUGGGAUCCUCCUGGAUGUGGUGUGGGCAUGGAAGGAAGGCCAGUGGAGACAAUGGAUGAUCUUGUUCUUAGCAGAUCACUGGAUGUGGCAGGGAGUCCUAGGACAUGUGUGGUGUGGGCUUCUUCAGGUGCUGGUGGUGUUGGCAUGAGGAAAGGAGGUAUCUUCGAGGGACAAUCUUCUUCUUGUGCGAUCCUUGGAGAUGCCAUGAGGCCCCUGGACACAUGUGGUGUGGGCUCCUUUGGAGGCUGUUGUAUCCCUUCUGAAUGUGGCGUGGGCAUAGAAGGAAGGCCAGUGGCCACGAGGGACAAUCUUGGUCUUGGGAGAUCCUGGAAAUGAUAGGGAGUCCCUUGAUAUGUGUGGCAUGGGCUCCUUCAGGUGCUAGUGGAUUCCUUAGGAUGGUGGUGUUGGCAUGAAAGGCAGGCUUGUAUCAUGAGGAAUGAUUGUCAUCUUGUCUGAUUCUUGGAGAUGGCAGGAAGCCCCUGGAAACACAUGGUGUGGACUCUUUCACAGGCUGUUGAAACCCUCCUGAAUGUGAGGCCAGAGACAGGCAGACAGCAGAUGUAUUGCAGGGAGCUGGAUGACAUGGCCCUUGGAACCUGUGCACAUGCCUGCCUUUCUGAUGCACGUCCAUGUUUUCUCUGCACCUCCCCGGUGGUGUUGGUAUAAAAAGCAGGCUUACAUCAGCAAGGGAUGAUUGUCGUCUCAUGCGAUCCUGGGAGAUGGCAGAAGUCCCGGGACACAUGGAGUGUGGGCUCUUUCGGAGGCUGUUGGAUCCCUCCUGAAUGUGUUGUGGCCAUGGAAGUAAGGCCAGUGGCUACGAGGGACAGUCUUCAUCUUGGGAGAUCCCUAGAGAGGGCAGGGAGCCCCUUGACAUGUGGAAUGUGAUCUCUGUUGGGUGCUGGUGGAUCCCACAGGUGGUCUGGCAUGGAAGAAGGCCAGAGGCUGCGAUGGAUCAUCUUUGUCUUGGGAGAUUCCUGGAGAUGGUGGGGAGCCCCUGGGCACGUGCAGCAUAUGUGGCGUGGGCUUCUUCAGGUGCUGGUGGAUCCCUCAGGAUGCUUUUCAAGGUUUUUCUAUGAGUUCUGUUAAAGAGUCUGAAAAUGGAGCGUAGAAGACAUGCUUCGAUUUCCAGGAUGGUUGUGUUUUCCAGAGAGGCGGAGGUAAACCACUGGCGCAGCCCUGCCUCCCACAGAUAAUUCCGGGUGCAGUGUUUCAUAUCUAGACUUGGACUUCUAUCCUACCAUACUUCUUUGUGUGCAGGCCAUGUUUUCGCAGGCAGUCUUGCUAUCAGAGCUGAGGGGAUGCUGUUUUGAUCACUUAGUUUAUCUGAUGUUGCUGGGCCUCCAACUGGUGCUGACUGGUACUUCCUGAGAUGGCGAAGGUUUUUCUGUACUCUGAGAUGCCGUGUAUCUCUAUGUAAGGGGAGGAGACUCUGGACCACAGGAAUGAAGAGAACAUCUUAGUUCAUUGUGGAACCAGCACAGAUUUUCAUACGAAAGUUAUUUCUUUUUAACCUCAAAAAGUGACAGAAUGGAGUGUAUCAUGAAAAAGUCUGACAUCAAAACCUCAAAAUGUGAUAUUGAUUGGGUGAGAUAGAAUUCCAUGGAAUUUCAUUGCCAAACCAGUGAAGUGCUAAUUUUGACAUUUGUACCAGCUAACGUAGCUGUGAAGAAACACACCAAUACACUUCUAAGGACAGCAUAGACCAAGAUCUAGGUUUCAUAUGGAUGAAUUUAUUCUUCCCUUUGAGGCAAGACAAGAAGGAAAGAAAGUAUUGGGAAUAAUGCUGCCCUCCCAUCCUCAAGGGCCAGUGGGAACUCUAAUAUUGAUUGGGUGAGAUACAAUUCCAUGGAAUUUUACCACUGAACCAGUGGAGGGCUAAUUUUGUCAUUUGUACCAGUUAACUAACUUGGGAGGAAACAGAACAACACACUCCUGAGAUUGGUUUUCACAGAAUUCCAUGGACUUUAACUGCUGAACCAAUGAUGCACUGAUUUUGUCACUUGUACCAGCUAACGCAUCUGGGAGGCAACAAAACAAUACUCUCCUGAGGUUAAUGUGGACCAAAAACUAGAUUUCAUAUAAAAGAGUUUAUUCCUUCUACUUGAGGUGUGACAUGAAGGAAAGUAAUGGAAAUAAUUCUGCCCUCCCAUUCUCAAGGGCCAGGGGGAAUUCAAAUAUUGAACGGAAGUGAUUUUGGAAUUGCAUGGAAUUCUCACUGCCAUCCCAAAGAAAUGCUGAUCUUGUCACUCUUACCUGUUUCAUUCCCUGGGGGCAGAACAAAAGGACGCACUCCAAAGAUCGGCAUGAACCAAGAACUGGGUUUCAUAUAAAAUAUUUUAUUCUGUCCUCUUGAGAUGUGACAUGAGAAAAGUAUUGAGAAUACUUCUAUCACCUCAUCUUCAAGAAUCCGUAGGAAUUCUCCCAUGGUGGACUUUACGGUUAACCUGAACAGGUCUUGGAAAAAGGACUUUAAACAUUCUCCUGUUCUGUGGAAUAAGUAUACUUUUUUCUGGACAUACACCUUGUCAGUGAGUUCCAUGUGAUACUAGAGUUGCAUAGAUUUUUAACCUUUACGCCAAUGAAGAUCUGAGGCAAACAUUGCCCCUUUUUUAGAAGUUUGCAUUUGUCACUGAUAACUGUAAUAAUUGAUCUUGUUGAAAAGCCUGGGAAAUGAAGAUCUGAUAUGUCACUUUUACCGGCUUCCUCAACUGAAAAAGAAUACAAUGAAACACGCUGAGAAUUUUUGUGCUUUCUCAGUCUUGCUGAUGAUCUUUCUAUGGGCCUGAAGCGUGGAGAGUGCCAGAGAGGCUGAUCCUCAGCAGUGUGGCAGAGGAAAGUUGGGUGCGACUAAGGGGUAUGCGGUGCCCACAUGCCACUGGGUCCUCAGCAGUACCACCUGAUUGGAAGUGAUAUUGGUGGAAGACAACAUUUUGCCGCUUGGAAUUCUCACCUCCACACCAAAGAAGUACUGUUUUUGUCAUUUGCACCAGCUUCUUUCUCCAGGAAAGAUCAAAACGAUGCACUGCAAGUGUGAUUGGUCCAGAUAGCUGCCUUAUCCAACUGCCUCCUUUGGACCACUUCAUCAUGGGACAGCUUGAUGCAAUCUACUUGACAAGACCCUGGAACCCCACACCCCUCAUGGAACCAGUGUCCACCUCCCAGUCACAGUGUGACCCCAGGGAACUCUUGCCUGCUUGCUUUAAACCCACCACUUAAAAGUCUCCACAGAAAACCUGUUUGAAUAGUACCCUUGACCCAAUAAGGGCAUUGGCCCCUGGGUGUCUCUCUCUCUCUCUCUCUCUCUCUCUCCCUCUCUCUCCCUCUCUCUCUCUCGCUCCCUGACCUCUGCGUGUGGACUCCAGGCAUGCCAUAUACCCCUCAGGACCUGAAGCAAAAGAAUGAAUUAAAGAAAACUCCAGAGAAUGAGCUGACAACCUACUCCCUGGUCAGUGGCUCUCCAUGCCUACCUGUGGUCUCUUGGACACCCUUGCAGAAGAUGACUUCCUGGGAACUCUUCUGGGAGUGAAUGUUAUCAGCAAAUUCCCAAAACAACACCCCUUAGACAAAAAGCCUCCUCACCUAUGCAUUGCCUAGACCACCCACUAAAGUAAACUGAACUCCUUCAUGGCUUGAUCCAUUGUGAUGCUAGAAAAUUGUUGUACACAGAAGA
rnacentral:lncRNA from 1 species